AAAAUUAUUUUACCGUGUUUAUACAUAGCUGUAUUCUGACUUUUUAAAAAAUAAGCCUAAUACAGAAACAACAUUGUAAAAAGUUUUGCUUUUGUUUUCAAUCAUUUUUUUUUUUUUUUUUUUUUUUUUGAUAUUUCAAAAAAAUUUCACUUGUUUAUAAAUUUACACACAUUGUAUAUAUAUAUAUAUAUACACGUACUAAUAUAUGCAUAUACAUUUUUUCCCCCUAUAAAUUUCCGCUUGUAAAAAAAAAAAAAAAAAAAAAAAAGACGUUGCUAUAUAAAAAAAUAUGGAACAUAUUCCUACAAAAAACAGUGUUAAUAUAGAAAAGGAGGAUGAAGAAGUAAAGACUCCAAAAAAUAAAAAUAAAAAACACUCAAAAAAUAAAAACGAUUUAUCUAAAAGCAAAAAAGAUAUAACAGUAAAUAAAAAGAAUAGUCAAAAUGGUUCUUUUGAAAAUCAUAAUAUAAAUACUUUAAAAAAAGAAACAGAUAAACAUGACUCUGCUAUUAUGAACAGUCAGAAUAUUUCACAUAGUAGUACAGAAUAUCCUUUGAAUAAUACAAGUAAAACAAAAGAAAAUAAAAAAAAAAAUACUAAAAAUGAGAAUACAUUACCAGAUAUAAAAAUAAAUAACGAACAAACUGAUACAGUAUUAGAUAAAACUCUAUCAUUUAAUGAUGUACCAAAAGCAAAAACAUUAAACGAUAUAAAAAUUAAUAAAAGCAGAAGUAGUAAUUAUACUAACGGAUACUCAAAUUAUACUGGUAGUAUUCAAAAAAAUAUGUUUCUUAGCGCUGACAAUAUAAAUUACACAACAAAUAAACAAAAAAUAAUAGACGACCAACUGAUAGUGGAUACACAAAGCGACAUUCUAAAACCAACUAUGAUACAAAAUCUUAAUGAUACCAAUAAUAAUACUAUUAAUAAUACUAGUGAUAAUAGUGGUAGUAAUUAUGAGAAUAAUAAAUGCAUAAAGGUAGAGUCAUUUUUAGAUACCCACCAAGGGACACGUGAAGACUUAUCUACUGUAGUAACACACACGGAUAUGCCCGAAACACACUCAAAAAAUAAAACUAAAAUGAAUGAAGAGAUAGUAAAAAAAGAAUCCGUAAUGGAAGAUUAUAAAAUGGACACAAGUAAUCAAAUUUUAUAUCAAAAUAAAAACAAUAUUGAAAAUAAUCAAAGUGAAUUAUCUAAUGAAAGAAUUAUUAAAAAGAAUCAGACAAAAACAGUAUUCACUGCCCAAAUUUCUCAAAGAAGUAACGCAGAUGCACGUGCAUGUGAAAAAAAGGUAGAAAAGGUUCCAGAGAAAACUGUGUUCGAAUUACAAAUAAGUACAAAAUCCAACGCAGAUGCACGUUCAUGUGAAAAAAAAGUGGAAAAGAUUCCAGAGAAAACUGUGUUCGAAUUACAAAUAAGUACAAAAUCCAACGCAGAUGCACGUUCAUGUGAAAAAAAA
ensembl:lncRNA